rnacentral:lncRNA from 1 species
CUGUGGCUGCCCCAUCCCUGGCAGUGUUCAAGGCCAGGUUGGACACAGGGGCUUGGAGCACCCUGCUCCAGUGGAAGAGGUCCCUGCCUAUGGCAAGGGGUUGGAGCUGGAGGAGCUUUAAGGUCCCUUCCAACACAAACCAUUCCAUGAUAAGCUGGAACCUGGGGCCAGUUGCUGCUGCUUUGGGAUAUCUCCAUCUGCUGCGACACCCAUGGUAGUGCUGUGCCUGAAGGGAAAUGAAGACUUUCUUGGGAGCAUCCCCUAAUUUUGUAUGGAAAAGGUGGAUGCUGCUGCUCAGCAAUGCAGUGAGAAAUGUCUGUGCUUCUGUUGUAGAUCCCUGUGCAAGCCCUGGAGAACGGGAUCUGCAGCAGGACAACAGCUCUUGGAGACCAAGGCUGGAGUUGGGAUCCCGAAGGCAAGUGAUGGUGUUGCUGGAGAGGCUCCAUCCCUCUCUGAAGAGCCUUUGGAGGUGGAUGUGGGGCUCACUGCUAUGACAGAAGAUGAGGAGAAGGAGCUGGACCUCCCUGUCCUACAGCAACAAGAGGAUGCCCAAAGCCUGACAAGCAAAAAGAAGCAAGAGCAAAGGAAGCAGAAGGAAAAGGGAUUGCUGGGAGAAAGAGGGAGGAGGAAGCAUAAAGGGAAGGAAAGAAAAAGAGGGAAGAAGGAGGAUAAACUGGAUGAAAGUCCUGGGAAUGUGAUGGAAAGCAUCAAGGAGGAAAGUGCUGAUGGGGGCAGCAAUAAGACAAGGGGACAGGGAAGAGCCAAGCAAGGGAGCAGCAACAACACCUGGAAACAGGGUGGCACGAAGAAAAAGCAGAAGGGACAAAUAGGGAAGUGCAAGGAGGUUAAAAUGGCAAAGGUGGGGAAAAUGGGGAAGAAGACAAUAAAGAAGGACAAGCUGGAAGAGGAGCAAGAGCUGGAGAAGGCACAUGAAGGGGAAGGAGAAAAAGGAGUGGGAGAUGAACUGGAGGAGAAAGAUGUGGUGGGAAAGGGAAGUGAAGAUAGGGAAGGGGUGAAGGAGGAGGAUGAGAAAGGGGAUGAAGGAUGGGGUGAGACCCACAGUGCAGGUGUCAAAGAGGAGGUGAAGGAUGAGGAGGGUGAGGAAGGGAAGGGAGAUGUGCCACGGAAAAGGAAGGUGAAAAAGCCAGAGGAGGAAAUGGAGAAAAGGGAGAAAAGUGAAGAGGAGACACCGAGGAAGAAGCCAAAGAGGAAAUCUAAGGAAGGAGGAGGGGAAAAGAGCAAUCAAAAGGCUAAAAAGAAGAAAGAGGAAGAAAAAGAGGACACCGAAAACAAGUGGAAAUGGUAAGUGUUGUAUGUGCCUUGGACCUGGGGGCAGGUCUAACCCUAAUGCAAUUGGGGGUUUAGCUUUAUUUCUUAG